rnacentral:rRNA from 1 species
AUUGAACGCUGGCGGAAUGCUUUACACAUGCAAGUCGAACGGCAGCACGGGGCAACCUGGUGGCGAGUGGCGAACGGGUGAGUAAUACAUCGGAACGUGCCCAAUCGUGGGGGAUAACGUAGCGAAAGUUACGCUAAUACCGCAUACGAUCUACGGAUGAAAGCGGGGGGAUCGCAAGACCUCGCGCGAAUGGAGCGGCCGAUGUCAGAUUAGGUAGUUGGUGGGGUAAAGGCUCACCAAGCCAACGAUCUGUAGCUGGUCUGAGAGGACGACCAGCCACACUGGAACUGAGACACGGUCCAGACUCCUACGGGAGGCAGCAGUGGGGAAUUUUGGACAAUGGGCGCAAGCCUGAUCCAGCCAUUCCGCGUGCAGGAUGAAGGCCUU